rnacentral:rRNA from 1 species
UACGGGAGGCAGCAGUGGGGAAUAUUGCACAAUGGGCGCAAGCCUGAUGCAGCCAUGCCGCGUGUAUGAAGAAGGCCUUCGGGUUGUAAAGUACUUUCAGUCGUGAGGAAGGUGUUAAGGUUAAUAACCUUAGCAAUUGACGUUAGCGACAGAAGAAGCACCGGCUAACUCCGUGCCAGCAGCCGCGGUAAUACGGAGGGUGCGAGCGUUAAUCGGAAUUACUGGGCGUAAAGGGCACGCAGGCGGUUAAUUAAGUUGGAUGUGAAAUCCCCGGGCUUAACCUGGGAAUGGCAUUCAAGACUGGUUAGCUAGAGUCUUGUAGAGGGGGUAGAAUUCCAUGUGUAGCGGUGAAAUGCGUAGAGAUGUGGAGGAAUACCGGUGGCGAAGGCGGCCCCGUGGACAAAGACUGACGCUCAUGUGCGAAAGCGUGGGGA